rnacentral:lncRNA from 1 species
UCGAGCCUGCCAACCAUGGGUGAACCUGUUAAAAUAGCAUGGGCGGGUGACACGCCCGUAGUCAAACCUGUCAAAUGAACACCGGCGUGGGAGAAGUGGACAACACCAGACACGGCCGUCUGCACCCACACACCCAAGGAACACGGGCGUGUAUUAAAUGUCAGGUGCGCCCAAUUUCAAAAUUCGUGAAGACGGGCAUGUUCCCUAGCCGUGUGCCCCAAGAUCUAUAAAUACCCUGCACUAUUCACUUUCUUCCCCAUUCAAAGACCCUAACCCUAGCCACUGCAAGUCCAC